rnacentral:rRNA from 1 species
CCUACGGGAGGCAGCAGUGGGGAAUAUUGGACAAUGGGAGGAACCCUGAUCCAGCCAUGCCGCGUGUGUGAAGAAGGCCCUCGGGUUGUAAAGCACUUUCAGUGAGGAAGAACGCCUGGUGGUUAAUACCCAUCAGGAAAGACAUCACUCACAGAAGAAGCACCGGCUAACUCCGUGCCAGCAGCCGCGGUAAUACGGAGGGUGCGAGCGUUAAUCGGAAUUACUGGGCGUAAAGCGCGCGUAGGUGGCUUGAUAAGCCGGUUGUGAAAGCCCCGGGCUCAACCUGGGAACGGCAUCCGGAACUGUCAAGCUAGAGUGCAGGAGAGGAAGGUAGAAUUCCCGGUGUAGCGGUGAAAUGCGUAGAGAUCGGGAGGAAUACCAGUGGCGAAGGCGGCCUUCUGGACUGACACUGACACUGAGGUGCGAAAGCGUGGGUAGCAAACAGGAUUAGAUACCCUAGUAGUC